GAUGAACGCUGGCGGCGUGCCUAAUACAUGCAAGUCGAGCGAAUGGAUUAAGAGUUUGCUCUUAUGAAGUUAGCGGCGGACGGGUGAGUAACACGUGGGUAACCUGCCCAUAAGACUGGGAUAACUCCGGGAAACCGGGGCUAAUACCGGAUAACAUUUUGAACCGCAUGGUUCGAAAUUGAAAGGCGGCUUCGGCCGUCACUUAUGGAUGGACCCGCGUCGCAUUAGCUAGUUGGUGAGGUAACGGCUCACAAAGGCAACGAUGCGUAGCCGACCUGAGAGGGUGAUCGGCCACACUGGGACUGAGACACGGCCCAGACUCCUACGGGAGGCAGCAGUAGGGAAUCUUCCGCAAUGGACGAAAGUCUGACGGAGCAACGCCGCGUGAGUGAUGAAGGCUUUCGGGUCGUAAAACUCUGUUGUCAGGGAAGAACAAGUGCUAGUUGAAUAAGCUGGCACCUUGACGGUACCUAACCAGAAGGCCACGGCUAACUACGUGCCAGCCGCCGCCGUAA
rnacentral:rRNA from 1 species